CGUUAUGUACAUUCCUAUAUCAUAGCGUUAAUGCACUGGAUCCUAUUAGAACUCCAUAGUUAAGCACGCUCGGGUUAGAGUAGUAUUGGGAUGGGUGACCACCCGAGAAGUCCUAUUAUUUCACAU
rnacentral:rRNA from 1 species